CGGGACCACAUGGUUCUGCAGUCAAAACUCCGGUGGUACAAGAUGGGCUCGCGUCCAAUUAGCUAGUUGGUGAGGUAACGGCCCACCAAGGCGACGAUUGGUAGCCGAACUGAGAGGUUGAUCGGCCACAUUGGGACUGAGACACGGCCCAGACUCCUACGGGAGGCAGCAGUGGGGAAUAUUGGGCAAUGGGGGAAACCCUGACCCAGCAACGCCGCGUGAAGGAUGAAGGCUUUCGGGUUGUAAACUUCUUUGAUCGGGGACGAAAUUGACGGUACCCGAAGAACAAGCCACGGCUAACUACGUGCCAGCAGCCGCGGUAAUACGUAGGUGGCAAGCGUUAUCCGGAAUUACUGGGCGUAAAGGGCGUGUAGGCGGGAAGACAAGUCAGGAGUGAAAUCCCAGGGCUUAACCCUGGAGCUGCUUCUGAAACUGUUUUUCUUGAGUAUCGGAGAGGAAAGUGGAAUUCCCAGUGUAGCGGUGAAAUGCGUAGAGAUUGG
rnacentral:rRNA from 1 species